rnacentral:misc_RNA from 1 species
CAGGACUCGCAAGACUCCUACAACCCUGUGAACCUACUAUACGAACGUUGCUUCGGCGGGUGCGCCCCGGGGAUUCGUUCCCGAGGCGCGUCAGCCCGCCGGCAGCCUACAAAUUCUGUUUCUUUGCGUUGGCAUCUCGAGAAAAAAAAAAAUAAGUUA